rnacentral:lncRNA from 1 species
AUAAACAUUACUUUAAUUUUUCAUAUGCAGUCCUUUCCUGCUUCUAGCCAUCCCUGUUGCAACUUGGUAAAGAUGACCUACAAAGGGACAGUACUCCUGAGCCUGAAGGAAUAUAGGAAGGGAGACAUCAACCUGAGACGCACCUACCAUAGACAGUGGAACAUAUACGACUGCUUAAAUAAGGAGUAACUCUCUCUUGUAACUUUAAGAGGUGAGUCACAGAACCAUUUAAGUUGUACAAGUGUAACUCAGAAGAAAAACAGUUCUAAAAUAAAUAAAUUCACAGGCCUAUUUUCUAUUUCA